rnacentral:rRNA from 1 species
GACGAACCGUGCAAACGUUAUUCGGAAUCACUGGGCUUAAAGAGCGCGUAGGCGGCGUCGUAAGUUGGAGGUGAAAUCCCAUCGGCUCAACCGUGGAACUGCCCCCAAUACUGCGACGCUUGAGGGAGGUAGGGGCGUGUGGAACUUCCAGUGGAGCGGUGAAAUGUGUUGAUAUUGGAAGGAACGCCAGUGGCGAAAGCGACACGCUGGAUCUCUUCUGACGCUGAGGCGCGAAAGCUAGGGGAGCAAACGGG